rnacentral:rRNA from 1 species
GACGAACGCUGGCGGCGUGCUUAACACAUGCAAGUCGAACGGAAAGGCCCUGCUUGCCGGGUACUCGAGUGGCGAACGGGUGAGUAACACGUGGGUGAUCUGCCCUGCACUUCGGGAUAAGCCUGGGAAACUGGGUCUAAUACCGGAUAGGAGCCAUUUUUAGUGUGAUGGUUGGAAAGUUUUUUUCGGUGUAGGAUGAGCUCGCGGCCUAUCAGCUUGUUGGUGGGGUAAUGGCCUACCAAGGCGGCGACGGGUAGCCGGCCUGAGAGGGUGGACGGCCACAUUGGGACUGAGAUACGGCCCAGACGCCUACGGGAGGCAGCAGGGGGGAAUAUUGCACAAUGGGCGCAAGCCUGAUGCAGCGACGCCGCGUGGGGGAGGACGGCCUUCGGGUUGUAAACUCCUUUCGCUAGGGACGAAGCUUUUUGUGACGGUACCUAGAGAAGAAGCACCGGCUAACUACGUG